UACGGGGGGAGCAAGCGUUGUUCGGAUUUACUGGGCGUAAAGGGCGCGUAGGCGGUCAGCACAAGUCAGUUGUGAAAUCUCCGGGCUUAACUCGGAAAGGUCAACUGAUACUGUGCGACUAGAGUGCAGAAGGGGCAACUGGAAUUCUCGGUGUAGCGGUGAAAUGCGCAGAUAUCAGGAGGAACACCGGUGGCGAAGGCGGAUCUCUGGGCCGAUACUGACGCUGGAGGAGCGAAAGCGUGGGGAGCGAACAGG
rnacentral:rRNA from 1 species